rnacentral:rRNA from 1 species
ACGCUCGACACCUACGGGGGCAGCAGUGGGGAAUAUUGCACAAUGGGGGAAACCCUGAUGCAGCGACGCCGCGUGAGCGAAGAAGUAUUUCGGUAUGUAAAGCUCUAUCAGCAGGGAAGAAACUGACGGUACCUGACUAAGAAGCACCGGCUAAAUACGUGCCAGCAGCCGCGGUAAUCUGAGGCGGGCGUGGCGAAGGC